AUGAAGCUUAUGGGGAAGAGCCAGAGGAGUGGAGGAGGCUUGAGCAGGAGCCUCAAGGAGCACAGGGCCAGGCUCUACAUCAUCCAGCGCUGCGUCGUCAUGCUCCUCCGCUGGCACGACUGA
rnacentral:rRNA from 1 species